UGGAUCGAUGAUGACUGCUGGUGGCGUAUGAGGGAUGUUAUGAAUACGUGUCUGGAACUCUGAGGUCCUU
ensembl:snoRNA